UCCCAUUUGGCCUUUCUGGAUCCCCGACCUCUUUUGGACUUUGGACUCGCUCUCCUGGUUUUGACCCCGCUUCCGCCAUGGACUUCCCUGCCUGCCUCGCCCCUGUCUACACCACCUCCAACACUUUGGAUUCGGUGAGAAAAUUGUGGUAAUAAGUCGGCUCUUACCGGAGACAUGAGCGGAGCCUGCGUCCUGCUGCAGCUGCCAAAGAGGCAGCUGCGACUUUCUUGGCUCCUCCGUGGCUUCCAUCAGAGACACUGGCGGUCACCGCACCCCUCCGACCUUCAGCUGUCAAAGAGGCAGCCGCGACUUCCUUGGCUUCACUCAGAGACACCGGCGGUCACCACACCCCUCCGACUUUCAG